GGAAGUAAAAGUCGUAACAAGGUCUCCGUAGGUGAACCUGCGGAGGGAUCAUUACACAAAUAUGAAGGCGGGCUGGAACCUCUCGGGGUUACAGCCUUGCUGAAUUAUUCACCCUUGUCUUUUGCGUACUUCUUGUUUCCUUGGUGGGUUCGCCCACCACUAGGACAAACAUAAACCUUUUGUAAUUGCAAUCAGCGUCAGUAACAAAUUAAUAAUUACAACUUUCAACAACGGAUCUCUUGGUUCUGGCAUCGAUGAAGAACGCAGCGAAAUGCGAUAAGUAGUGUGAAUUGCAGAAUUCAGUGAAUCAUCGAAUCUUUGAACGCACAUUGCGCCCUUUGGUAUUCCAAAGGGCAUGCCUGUUCGAGCGUCAUUUGUACCCUCAAGCUUUGCUUGGUGUUGGGCGUCUUGUCUCUAGCUUUGCUGGAGACUCGCCUUAAAGUAAUUGGCAGCCGGCCUACUGGUUUCGGAGCGCAGCACAAGUCGCACUCUCUAUCAGCAAAGGUCUAGCAUCCAUUAAGCCUUUUUUCAACUUUUGACCUCGGAUCAGGUAGGGAUACCCGCUGAACUUAAGCAUAUCAAUAAGCGGAGGAAAAGAAACCAACAGGGAUUGCCCUAGUAACGGCGAGUGAAGCGGCAACAGCUCAAAUUUGAAAUCUGGCUCUUUUAGAGUCCGAGUUGUAAUUUGCAGAGGGCGCUUUGGCUUUGGCAGCGGUCCAAGUUCCUUGGAACAGGACGUCACAGAGGGUGAGAAUCCCGUACGUGGUCGCUGGCUAUUGCCGUGUAAAGCCCCUUCGACGAGUCGAGUUGUUUGGGAAUGCAGCUCUAAAUGGGAGGUACAUUUCUUCUAAAGCUAAAUAUUGGCCAGAGACCGAUAGCGCACAAGUAGAGUGAUCGAAAGAUGAAAAGCACUUUGGAAAGAGAGUCAAACAGCACGUGAAAUUGUUGAAAGGGAAGCGCUUGCAGCCAGACUUGCUUACAGUUGCUCAUCCGGGUUUUUACCCGGUGCACUCUUCUGUAGGCAGGCCAGCAUCAGUUUGGGCGGUAGGAUAAAGGUCUCUGUCACGUACCUCCUUUCGGGGAGGCCUUAUAGGGGAGACGACAUACUACCAGCCUGGACUGAGGUCCGCGCAUCUGCUAGGAUGCUGGCGUAAUGGCUGUAAGCGG
rnacentral:rRNA from 1 species